CCUACGGGAGGCAGCAGUGGGGAAUAUUGGGCAAUGGGCGCAAGCCUUACCCAGCAAUACCGCGUGAGUGAAGAAGGUCUUCGGAUUGUAAAGCUCUUUGAUCAGGGACGAACAGAUGACGGUACCUGAAGAACAAGCCCCGGCUAACUACGUGCCAGCAGCCGCGGUAAUACGUAGGGGGCAAGCGUUAUCCGGAUUCACUGGGUGUAAAGGGAGCGUAGACGGCCAUGCAAGCCUGGAGUGAAAGCCCGGGGCCCAACCCCGGGACUGCUCUGGGAACUGUGCGGCUGGAGUGCGGGAGGGGG
rnacentral:rRNA from 1 species